rnacentral:lncRNA from 10 species
CAAGCAGCAGGUAGCCCUGGGAGGCCAGUUCCCCAUGACUGCCCCCCAACACCGCUUGGGGGACCCUCAUGUGGUCAUUUCCAUCACAAGAGGAAUGACCCCUGUGGGACUGGGCCAGCUGAGCCCGCAUCUCUCAUCUCUGCUUAUGGAUUUGUUUGUGUCUAGGGAUUUAAUAAACUCCUUUCUCUUCCGUUGUCACUUUUCAGCCUGCAAUGAAUGUUUGUGCUGAGGACCGAGACCAGCUGUGUCAAUGUUAACUGCUGGUUCCAGGAUACUCUUUCCCAGGUGGAUGAGGGUGAAAACAAUAAAGAAUGUCACUCAUUGCUUCAGGGAAUUCCUGAAAACCAAUUAUCCAGAGCAGGUGAUGCUGGCUGUCUGUCCUGGGGACACGGACACUGAGGGUGGCUGAGUCAGCUCAUAGGAGGCCACGGAUCCUACAGGAGAGAAAACGGGAGAGAAAAGGCUUGAAACUGAGGAGCUGAACUCCAAGUAGUAUGAUGUCCUGCCCAUGUGGCCAUUCCUUGUCCUGCGUGGAGAUGGCCAGGGACUGACUUACAAUGGCGACUGAGGGAUUAUUCUGAGAUCUAAGGUCCCUGAUUCCCUGGUCUGCAGACUGCUGGUGCCAAUGGAGGAAAUUUUUCUCUUCUCUUUGUGACUCAUGCCUGCCUCAAUACCAGAUACAGGACCUAGGAACACAAAAUCUGCAAACUGCACUUAACACAAAAGGGAAGGGGCUGAGAUGGGGAGGAACAAUUCCAAGGUCACUUGGCAAGGAGAGAGAAAAGGAAGACGAGAAAUGCUCUGGACCUGUAACAGUAAGUCUUCUGAGUGUCCUGGGACCAGCCUGCCAGGGAGGGCAUGGGAAAAUCCUCAGCCCAAAUUCUCAGCCCAAAUCCCUCCCUAUGGAGACGGCAUCUCAGUCAGCUCUUUUAGCUGCCUGUAGGGGGCGCGCCUGCCACACUCUGGGUUGAAAGGGAGAGAAAAGACGGUUGAUUCCCAGCUCAGGAACCAAGCUGUCUAGAGACAUUUUCUUUUCUUUUUUUUUUUUAAUUUAUUAUUAUUAUACUUUAAGUUUUAGGGUACAUGUGCACAAUGUGCAGGUUAGUUACAUAUGUAUACAUGUGCCAUGCUGGUGCGCUGCACCCACUAACUCGUCAUCUAGCAUUAGAUAUAUCUCCCAAUGCUAUCCCUCGCCCCUCCCCCCACCCCACAACAGUCCCCAGAGUGUGAUGUUCCCCUUCCUGUGUCCAUGUGUUCUCAUUGUUCAAUUCCCACCUAUGAGUGAGAAUAUGCGGUGUUUGGUUUUUUGUUCUUGCGAUAGUUUACUGAGAAUGAUGAUUUCCAAUUUCAUCCAUGUCCCUACAAAGGACAUGAACUCAUCAUUUUUUAUGGCUGCAUAGUAUUCCAUGGUGUAUAUGUGCCACAUUUUCUUAAUCCAGUCUAUCAUUGUUGGACAUUUGGGUUGGUUCCAAGUCUUUGCUAUUGUGAAUAAUGCCACAAUAAACAUACAUGUGCAUGUGUCU